AAGUCGUAACAAGGUUUCCGUAGGUGAACCUGCGGAAGGAUCAUUAAAGAAAACAUUCUGGACGGUGACAUUGAUAUCGGCCAAGUGCCUGCAUGUCUGUCUCCUCUCCUAAUGUACUCAUGUGCACCAUUGCGCUCUGGAGUCAGAAACGACUACAGGCGUUUUUAUACACUCUUAAUAAUAUACAUUGAGGAAAAACACAUAAUAAAACUAUACAACCAUCAGCAACGGAUCUCUUGGCAUUCCACUCGAUGAAGAACCAG
rnacentral:misc_RNA from 1 species